rnacentral:rRNA from 1 species
GAUCAUGGCUCAGGAUGAACGCUGGCGGCGUGCUUAACACAUGCAAGUCGAACGAGAAACCUUUUACUGAAGCUUCGGCAGAUUUAAUUUGUUUCUAGUGGCGGACGGGUGAGUAACGCGUGGGUAACCUGCCCUAUACAGGGGGAUAACAACCAGAAAUGGUUGCUAAUACCGCAUAAGCGCACAGGACCGCAUGGUCCGGUGUGAAAAACUCCGGUGGUAUAGGAUGGACCCGCGUUGGAUUAGCCAGUUGG